GCACAGGGCUCACUGAUCACCCUUCCUAGGGCCUGAAAGGACAAGCAGGGCCUCCUGGCCCCCCCGGCCUCCCGGUGAGUGCCUCCCCACGCCUGUCCUCUGCUCCCUGACUGGCGUACUGCCUCCUUACCUGCUCUCUCCUCUCAGGGCAGGAUUGGUGUUCCUGGCCCCCAGGGGCCCCCUGGUGGUACCGUUGCAAAGGGUGAGAGGGGCUUCCCUGGGGCAGAUGGGCCUCCAGGCAGCCCUGGCCGCCCUGGGACUCCUGGAACCCCUGGCUCCAAGGGCUCCCCAGGGUGGCCUGGUCCUCGUGGAGAAACAGGAGAACGAGGACCUCGAGGCCCGAAGGGGGAGCCGGUAG
rnacentral:lncRNA from 1 species